rnacentral:tRNA from 1 species
UGGCGGGUAGCUCAAUUUGGUAGAAGCGCCGGUCUGUUAAACCGGAGGUUGUGGGAUCGUUCCCCACCCCGCCAGCCA